rnacentral:rRNA from 1 species
CCUACGGGGUGCUGCAGUGGGGGAUAUUGCACAAUGGGGGAAACCCUGAUGCAGCGACGCCGCGUGGGUGAAGAAGCGCCUCGGCGCGUAAAGCCCUGUCAGCAGGGAAGAAAAUGACGGUACCUGAAGAAGAAGCCCCGGCUAACUACGUUCAAGCAGCCGCGGUAAUACGUAGGGGGCAAGCGUUAUCCGGAUUUACUGGGGGUAAAGGGGGCGCAGACGGCGAUGCAAGCCAGGAGUGAAAGCCCGGGGCCCAACCCCGGGACUGCUCUUGGAACUGCGUGGCUAGAGUGCAGGAGGGGCAGGCGGAAUUCCUGGUGUAGCGGUGAAAUGCGUAGAUAUCAGGAGGAACACCGGUGGCGAAGGCGACCUGCUGGACUGCAACUGACGUUGAGGCCCGAAAGCGUGGGGAGCAAACAGGAUUAGAUACCCGAGUAGUC